UUGAAUUUUUAGUAAUAAAAAUGUGACAAAAUGAACACCUUCUUUUUGUGUUUUUAAUUUUUCUCACCUCUCCGAAUUCAGUCCCAUGCCGCCGUGUUCAGCUCGCCCGGUUACCGUAACCGACACAAAAAGUGCAAGUGCCAUAGACCCGCUCACAUACACUCAGGAAAUCACAACCAUACGAAGCAGCUUCCUUUUUUGGGUGGUCGAAGAAAGCUGCUCCCUUUAAAAGCCAGAAAAAUCAAAACGAUUGCAUUUUCUCUCUCUUCUCAUCACCAUCACUUUUUGCGUCUAAUUGGAGUAAGUGUUUCAUGAUGCAGCUACUUUGUAUCUUCAAUUUUUUUCUCUGCAUGUUUAUUUACGUUCUCAGCUUUUACACUACAACCAUUAGAUUUGUUAUUUUGUUUUCUCUCUUUUUUUCUUUUGGUUUUGAACAAUAAAGUCAUCAUCUUGCUUCCCCACUAACAUUUGGCACGAGUAGGAAUGGUUUAGGUGUGCUCAGUUUUGGCCUAAAUGGUUAUCGAACGAGCCUAAAUGUUUGUUUCAAUUCUCUGCUCCUGCUGUUGGUGGAUUUCAAGUUAUUUACAAAAUUGCCACCUUUCGGUGAGGGUUUCAGGGAUGGGAGACCAUGCCGCUCUGGGAUAAAGAUAGACAGACAGUGGGAGAGGGAGACAGAGCGACAGAGAGAAAGGGAGAGGGAGGAGUGGGGAUCUCAGUACCAUUGCUGCAGAUCCUCGAUUUCAUGAGUGGGAGAGGGUGUACAGUCAGAGAAAAGUAUGGGGGCCGUCGGGAUUUGAGGGGGAAGGGUAUGGAUCGGGGCCGGGGGUCUGGGUUUGUCCCUUUGGGCUGUUUGCGACCUCUCUUAGCGACUUACUCCGGCGUUCCGAUGAUGGAAACACUAAAUCAUUCACUCCUCAAUCAAUGAUGCUGACCGAAGAUUAGAGUUGAGUACCAGGAUGAGGAGACUAGGAAUGAGUUUUGGCUCUUAAUAAUUGCUGCUCUGUUGCUUGGAAUUGUCAGUGCUUUCAGUUCGACUUCAACAAUACUAUAUGUGCAUCUUAAAGUUAUAGGAAUAUAAUUUACAUUUCAGAAUUUAAUUUAUUUAAGUGUUUUGCUAAAACACAAACACUGAGACUUGGUGGUGGCCUGCACUUUGCAGCCACAACUAAGACCAAGGGGUUGAUUUUUAUUUUCCUUUCCUUACCAAUUGGAUAGAAGUGCAACCCACCAGAUAAGUAGUUAAUUAGUUAUACUACUAAAGUUACAUAAUGCCACUUAGCAGCUGGAAAUUAACGAACUAGAUUUCUUAACAUAUUUUUACAUUCCAUGUUUUUUUGUAUGACAACUUUUUAGGUGCUGCAGUUUUGUUCUGGUUUUUCAUUCUUUCUGUGAAUUUCAAUUGUAGUAGGAUUGAAUCAUUUAAAUUGUGGGAUUGUUUUGUUUGAUGGGUUUCAAUUGUGUUUUCAUUUAUAUAGUACUAAUGGAUUUACUGUGUUGGCAAUUUCAAGAAUUUGAAUCGUUGGAGGGGGAAGUUGGUUCCUAGGCAUUUUGAGGUAUAUAAUUAUAUACCCUAUUUUUAUUCAAAGCCUAUUUUAAAUGUAUGAUUGGUUUGUAAGAAAUGAAUGAAAAAGAGAGUUAGAAUACCCUAUUUUGGAUUUCGAAAAAGAAAGUUAGAAAUGUAUAAGGAUGUGCAUUUUAUUUACCCUGUUUUGGAUCAGAGUGUGUGUUAUUUGAAAAAGAGAGUUAGAGAUGUAUGAUCAGUGUGUGUGACAAUGAUUUCUAAGUUGUUUGUGAGCUGCAUUCAUUUCUUGGAAGACCACAUUAAGAAGCAUUUUGUCAAUUGAUGCCUUAUAAAAAAAUUUCGAUAUUUAAUCUUGCUUUUGUUUUAGUUUCUUAUUAGCACAUGGCGUAAUUUGCUUCGCUUGGUGGUUAUUUGAUGUGCCGUCAAAUCUGAGUAUCUUUAUUUGAAAAUGAUUCAUAGCUGUUGAGGAUUGUAGCAGCACUUCGUUUUGAUUUGUAAACAAACAAUAUACUUUAUUUUUGUCUUGGGUUACAGUAUAACGUUUAACGAUUGAAUUUGUUAGACGGUUUAGCAAUUUUUUCAAGAACUUACUAUUCUUGCCAGGUACUCAAGUAUUAUGUUUCUACUUUUCUACUUUCCCUUUUCUGUGUUUUUCUUCCAUGUAGUAGGCUGAUUACUUGCAACUAUGAUAUUGAUGACACAAUACAAUCUAUAAAUAGAUGUUUCUUAUAGCAUGCAUAUCCAUAUAUAGCAAGCAAAAUUUGACUUCGAUGGUUCUUACGUAUUACGACGUCUUUUUAGUUGCUUUAUUGGAAUGCUAUUCAUGAAUGUUGUGACUAAUUAUUCAAUGCUUGCAGCAAAGCGCGGGUGCAUUUUCUAGUGUUACUCUAAUUCAACAAUUGCUUCUAACUGUAGGAGGCAGUUGCGAAUAUUAGACUGUCAUUGUUUUGCCUGCAAAAGACAGUUGCGAAAAUUAGACCGUCUUUGUUUUACCUGCAAAAGACAGUUGCGAAAAUUAGACUGUCAUUUCUCGAAAUUAAUCAAUAUCGUUACCACAAAUAUAAGCCGCUAAUUACAUGA